AAAAUAGCUUUACCACUUCAAAAGUUUACAAUACUUAUAUAAUAAAAAUAACAUAAUCGUUUACUAUUAAAUCCAUUUCAUUCUUUAAAUUUUGGCUACUUUUUAUAAUAUAUAUGUGUGGUAUUUUGGAAUAAGCUCAUUUUACUCUUAUCAUAUUUAUAUUUUACAAUACAAGGAGAAACAAACGCACAUGGUUGUAAUUUGUCAAGUAGUUUGACCUAUUUGUAUACUUUGUACUAGUACAUAAAAAAAUUCUAGGUCUGUGUGUAACAUGCAUAUCUAACACUACUAAAAGCUCGAUAUACUGAGCAGAGAGCUAUGACACGUAGGACAGUUUAUUCAGACCAAUCAGAGAGCAUCAUUUUUAUUGAAAGGCUAUGUUUCAGACAGCCCAUCUCUUGGCCCAAAUAUAUUCCAAAGCAAGUGAUCUCUGACGACUCCGCUUCACCUUCAUCGUCUCCCAUCGGGAAAGUCAAUCAUCUCUGCAAACAGUCAAUCAUCACCCGAAAAAGCUAUGCCACCGCUGAUUCUAUUGGUCUUGAAUCUUGAUUGCUGAGUCCUCAUCGCUAUCACCAGAAGACGACCCUAGAAACUGUAAGCUAUUUUUGUUUCCUAUCUGGUCUGCUCAUUUUUUUCCUGGACUAUAUUAGUUAAUUGCAUAAAUAAUACAAUCAAGUAAGACUGGCAUUGGCGAUCCCACCUUACAGCUCAGAACAAUCUGGUCAAAUCAACUGAUUCUGAUUAACACUCUUCAAGACUUAAGUCUUUGUGUUUGUCUUCUUCGUAUUUAGUUCACUUAUGUGGUCUAAUUUCCAUAUUUUCCAUAUUUUCUUUCUUUGAACGAUUUUAGUUUUAUUUUUACAGUUAACUGUGUCAAAUCUUUGGAGAGCCAUCCAGAUCAUCAACGUCAUCUUCAAGAGCAAAAAAAAAAAAAAAGAGUCUGCAAAUCAGUUGAUGAACAUCCAUUCGAUUUAUAUAUGUCUUUACUGGCUAUCUAAAUGAACCACCUCUGUUUCUGAUUACAACUGGUGAUCACAAGCUACUCUUUUUUUAAGACAUUCUUUUUAGUUUUUGGUAUAAUCUUCCAUCAGUCACGACUUUUAAUAAGUAAUGAGGUUUAAUAAACUUUGAAGUAAAAUUCAGAGCAUGUGGGGUUGAGUUUCAGGUCUCGAAGCCUGCAUCAGAUGGAAUUAAUGUGGGUGUGCUCCGAUUCUAAAAUAGCUGUUGAGAAAAGGAAGAAAAAUCUACCGAAGAUGUAGAAAUAUUGCAUCAUUUUCAUUAUUGCGGAAAAGUUUCACCGGAGACGUAAACGUGGAUUCAUCAUGUCUCGAGUUGAUACCUUGAAGGAUAUUGGGGGGUUUGCUCUAGACGGUGAUGGGGUUAGCUAAUUCACUGUAGAACCUUGGAUUUUGGCCACAAAAUACCUCAGAAUCAAAGUUACCUGAAAAAGUUAAACCCUUCCUCUUUUCUUUUUUUUUAAUCUGGUUAAACUGUUUUGCUUCAUAGGUGAUGUUUGUGACAACACAUUAAGGUGUUCCUGAAGAUUUCUAUGGAGCCAAAGUCACUGGAUCAAGAAGGCAACUUGGCUCCAACCAGUUUAGAGGAAUUAUGUACGGUACCCAAGCUACUACAUUGGUAAACCUCGAAGAUUUAUGACAAUGAUACAUUUUGUCAAAAGCUUUAUGGACAACUCAACUGAAAUCUUUUUGGUAUGAAACUUCCCUGUUCAAACGACUACGUUAAUUACAUAUUAUUGAGUGAAGACAGAGAGAACAGAUGGGCGAAGAGGAGAAACAGGAGAUGGAAGAAAAUUUUGGAAAAGUUGAUGAUGGUGCCCGCUUCAUGUAAACAUUUUGAAUAUAUGUAUAGACAAAGGCACAUGGUGGCACUUCGGAUUCCACUUGACAACAUCGACAAUGGUGCCCCCGCUACUGAGUCUACGUACACUUUCAAGUUCUGAGGAUGGGCUGCCUGUAUAUCGUGUUUUGUGGGAGAAGCAUCCGUCACGUUUUAGUCAUACAGCCUUCUCUCCCUAUGUUUUGUUUAGUGGAAAGCACAUGGAAAUUGAUGUCUUGAACUUUCCUUAUGCGUACAGAUUCAGUAGUUAUUUUUAAUGUUUUUGGUAUACCAUCCCCUGUUUUCAUUCGAGCUCCAUCUAUCUUCUUCUAACUGAUCGGGCUAUGGCUGUAGCGUGACUAGGUAACCCUGAACAAGGAAAAUGCUAACAGGGAAGAGGCUGAGAACGGAAACCCAGUUGUUGUGGGUCUAGCUUCUGAGAAUGUGUGGGGAAUUGUAUAGAAAUCUUAGGUAGAGACUCUUCAAAAUCUUUGUUUGUAUAAUAUUGUUAUUUUGAUCUUUUAAUGUUUCUUCGGUUUGAGUUAUAUAUUGGGAUAUGUUUCAUGGUGA